rnacentral:antisense_RNA from 1 species
GGCGCUACGAAAUUAAUAAAGCUUAAAACUGGUACAAAAGUGUAUUAGCAACCCUCGCAUUCCUGGCUAGUUAAUUCGAGCACAAAUUUCCUUAAUCCACAUCUAAUCGUGCUUUUGCACUGUGGGAUCAUUUGCAGCAAUAUGUUAUUUAUCAACGUAAUGAGCCCAGCGAAGUAUAAUUUGAUAUAGUCGUCUGUUGAGUCUAACCAAGAAAUCGGGAUGCAAAAUAUCAUAAACGAUUUCUCACCAGAUGAACUGUCUGAUUUUUGAUUAUAAAGAAUUUCAUUGGCACUUUUUGGCAGCGAGCUUGAAUAUGAUAUUGAUAUUGCAUUCGAAUCAAGCAUAUUUUUAAAAAUAGAAAUCUCACUUUGGUUUAUUGCAAUUGAUAAUUCUUGAAUAAAGUUGCUAGUUAAUAUAUUACUUUUAAUUAAU